rnacentral:rRNA from 1 species
CGUCAAGUCAGUAUGGCCCUUACGGCCAGGGCUGCACACGUACUACAAUGCCCAGUACAGAACGAUCCGAAACCGCGAGGUGGAGGAAAUCCCUAAAACUGGGCCCAGUUCGGAUUGUAGUCUGCAACUCGACUACAUGAAGCCGGAAUCGCUAGUAAUGGCGCAUCAGCUACGGCGCCGUGAAUACGUUCCCGGGCCUU